rnacentral:rRNA from 1 species
CCUACGGGUGGCUGCAGUGGGGAAUAUUGGACAAUGGGCGAAAGCCUGAUCCAGCCAUGCCGCGUGUGUGAAGAAGGCCUUCGGGUUGUAAAGCACUUUCAGUGGGGAAGAAAGCCUUGGGGCUAAUACCCUCGAGGAAGGACUUCACCCACAGAAGAAGCACCGGCUAACUCCGUGCCAGCAGCCGCGGUAAUACGGAGGGUGCGAGCGUUAAUCGGAAUUACUGGGCGUAAAGCGCGCGUAGGCGGUCUGAUAAGCCGGUUGUGAAAGCCCCGGGCUCAACCUGGGAACGGCAUCCGGAACUGUCAGGCUAGAGUGCAGGAGAGGAAGGUAGAAUUCCCGGUGUAGCGGUGAAAUGCGUAGAGAUCGGGAGGAAUACCAGUGGCGAAGGCAGCCUUCUGGACUGACACUGACGCUGAGGUGCGAAAGCGUGGGUAGCAAACAGGAUUAGAUACCCGGGUAGUC